CAGUAGCCGCGGGAAUACAGAGGGUGCGAGCGUUAAUCGGAUUUACUGGGCGUAAAGCGUGCGUAGGCGGCUUCUUAAGUCGGAUGUGAAAUCCCUGAGCUUAACUUAGGAAUUGCAUUCGAUACUGGGAAGCUAGAGUAUGGGAGAGGAUGGUAGAAUUCCAGGUGUAGCGGUGAAAUGCGUAGAGAUCUGGAGGAAUACCGGUGGCGAAGGCGGCCCCCUGGACAAAGACUGACGCUGAGGUACGAAAGCAUGGGGAGCAAACAGGAUUAGAUACCCCUGUAGUCCCUGUCUCUUAUAC
rnacentral:rRNA from 1 species